rnacentral:tRNA from 1 species
UCCCUAGUAGCUCAGUGGUAGAGCGCUCGACUGUUAAUCGAUUGGUCGUAGGUUCAAAUCCUACCUGGGGAG